rnacentral:rRNA from 1 species
UACGGAGGGUGCGAGCGUUAAUCGGAAUUACUGGGCGUAAAGCGCACGCAGGCGGUUUGUUAAGCUAGAUGUGAAAGCCCCGGGCUCAACCUGGGAUGGUCAUUUAGAACUGCAGACUAGAGUCUUGGAGAGGGGAGUGGAAUUCCAGGUGUAGCGGUGAAAUGCGUAGAUAUCUGGAGGAACAUCAGUGGCGAAGGCGACUCCCUGGCCAAAGACUGACGCUCANGUGCGAAAGUGUGGGUAGCGAACAGG